AGCGGAGGAAAAGAAACUAACAAGGAUUCCCCUAGUAGCGGCGAGCGAAGCGGGAAGAGCUCAAAUUUAUAAUCUGGCACCUUCGGUGUCCGAGUUGUAAUCUCUAGAAGUGUUUUCCGCGUUGGACCGCACACAAGUCUGUUGGAAUACAGCGGCAUAGUGGUGAAACCCCCGUAUAUGGUGCGGACGCCCAGCGCUUUGUGAUACACUUUCAAUGAGUCGAGUUGUUUGGGAAUGCAGCUCAAAUUGGGUGGUAAAUUCCAUCUAAAGCUAAAUAUUGGCGAGAGACCGAUAGCGAACAAGUACCGUGAGGGAAAGAUGAAAAGCACUUUGGAAAGAGAGUUAACAGUACGUGAAAUUGUUGGAAGGGAAACGCUUGAAGUCAGACUUGCUUGCCGGAGCUUGCUUCGGUUUGCAGGCCAGCAUCAGUUUUCCGGGGUGGAUAAUGACGGUUUGAAGGUAGCAGUCUCGGCUGUGUUAUAGCUUUCCGUUGGAUACAUCCUGGGGGACUGAGGAACGCAGCGUGCUUUUUGCGAAAGACUCGUCUUUUUCACGCUUAGGAUGCUGGUGGAAUGGCUUUAAACGACCCGUCUU
rnacentral:rRNA from 1 species